CUUAUAAUGUCAAGUAUUUUAGUUUAUUUAGACUUUUAUUUAAAAAAUGUUUUACAUUUGAUGAACAGCACUCAGCAUGACACAGGCAAUAAAUUAGAAACACACAAAGUUCUGUACACAUUCUUAUGUACACUAUGGGGAUUCAACUGAGGAAGAGAUCAAACUGGUCACAGUUGUACAAAGCUCUAGAUGGCUCAGUUGUACACAGCUCUAGAUGGGUCAUUCUCACACACACACAGAACAUAGAAAUUUGUAUGAAAUAGACAAAGAAAAAAAAAUUGCUUAUUUAGUUUUUGUUAUUUACUUAUUUACAGAGUUUGAUUACAUAAUCAUAGAGCUACCAGGAAGACUGUUGUUAAUACUAUACAAGUUUAAUGUGUGUUAAAAUACAAACAAUUUCAUUCAAAGCAAAGUCUGCAAGUGCACAUAAAAUCAACACAUUCUGACAUAAGAAUCAAUAAUGUAUAUUAAGAGGCCAUUUUAGGACCACACUGUGCACUUCAUAUAUUCAAUGACAAAAUACUUUUCUGUCAUUAGAUGGACUAAUAAGGGGCAAUAACUGAUAUAAGACAUUGCAGAAGUGAAACACACAAAUUAUGUCUAAUGAUCAGCCAAGAAAAAAAAGUACAUCAUUAGGUUCCAUUCUUCACAUAAACUUAAAACAAAUGUUCAAAUUGUAUUAGCACAAAAAAGUAUCACAAUGAAAGGAAAAAAAAAUUCUCUCUAAAAUAAAGCAUAAAAAUAAAAUUGGGUCAAUUAUUGUAAAAAAUAUUUUUUUAAAUACAUUCAUUAUAUACAUCUAGAGUGGUUGGAGUUGAAAGUGUUCAUUAAAACAAUAAAUGACAUUUUGUGCUAAUUAAAAAAUGUUUUAAUUAAUCCAAUGGUCCAGUUUAUAAUGUUAUAUAAACAUGUGUUUAUUAAUCUACAAAUGUACUUGAGCUGAGCCGGUACACCAGAAUGAUGACAAUAUAUGGCUUGAAUGUUGAAGAUCUAGUUUCAUGACAACUGUCCUCACCCAUAAAAUACAACUUAAAAUCUAUUAUAUUCGUGGAGCUUUGAGUUGAAUCUCUCUACAUAUAAUAAAUAUAUAGUACAUGACUUUUACCUUCAUACUGAUAGACAACAUUAUUGCAAAACAAAUAUUUAAAAUGAACUAAUUAAUGCUUUUGUAGUUCAUUCCCCUCCCCCCCCC